rnacentral:tRNA from 1 species
UCCCUGGAGGACUAGUGGUUAGGCCACAGUGCUCUCACUGCUGCGGUCCAGGUUUGAUUCCCGGCCAGGGAA